GCCUAGUUAGCUUAGUUGGUAGUGCGUCUGCCUUGUAAGCGCUAGGCCGCGGGUUCGAUCCCCGCCCAGGGCG
rnacentral:tRNA from 1 species